rnacentral:rRNA from 1 species
UACGAAGGGGGCUAGCGUUGCUCGGAAUCACUGGGCGUAAAGCGCACGUAGGCGGAUUGCUAAGUCAGGGGUGAAAUCCUGGAGCUCAACUCCAGAACUGCCCUUGAUACUGGCCGGUCUCGAGUCCGGGAGAGGUGAGUGGAACUGCGAGUGUAGAGGUGAAAAUUCGUAGAUAUUCGCAAGAACACCAGUGGCGAAGGCGGCUCACUGGCCCGGUACUGACGCUGAGGUGCGAAAGCGUGGGAGCAACAGG